AAAGGCAUCUCUUUAGUGAGCUUUACAGUCUCCCAGGUUGCCUGCACUUCCUGAUCUGAAAACACCACAUGGGAGAAAUAAAUUUAUGAUGUCUUCACCUGUGUAGGAAGUGUGGGAAGCCAAGGAGGCUACAGGCUGUCAGAGAGAUGGCUGUACAAUGAAAUACACACACACUCCUCAGCCAUCUCAUAAGGAAGAGAAAGAAGACCCACAUCCCUACUAGUCAAGGCAUUCAAGACAUUUUAAGAAGCUACUGCACACAAUCUAUUUUAAUAAGACAUUAAUCACGUGCAUGGAGGGGAAUCUUUGUGAUUGGAUCUCAUCUCUUUUGUGUGAAGUUGGAGACGGAGAAGGGAAGGGACUCUUGCGUCUGUGCCAUCAUUCUCACUGCCUCAAACAUCCACUGGGCCCCCUUUACAAGUCUAAGACUGCACACAUGGGGAAGGAAGUAGGUGGGGAGACAGUCACCCCACCUCAGAAGACCACAGAGAUUUCACAGGAAGGGCAAUACAGCCUGAAGCUAUGGACAUUUUCCGCAGUCGUCUUUUGUGUGGUGCAAGCUCCGAAGAAAGCAAAGGCAGAAGACCAUAAUGUGGCUCCUCUGGAGCUGCUUCAUCAGAAACAGGGAGAAAACCACAAGGAGAUUUGGUGUUAAUCGGAACCGUAGCAAUGGGAAAGGUGCAUUGCACACUUUGAUUUAUUUAUCUUAAAACACUUCUAUACCAUCUUUCAUCACAAGAAACUCUGGGACAUAAGUAGCUAAUCAUCCUGGAAGUCAGAAUUAGCCAGAGAAAUUUGUGUCAUUGACUCUAAUGCUUAAGCCAAGGUAACAGAUAGUAAAUGCCUGUAAGAACCUAGAGAGGCCUGAGCUGUUGUUGAAAACCAUGCUCUCAAUACAUUUCUCCAUCUACUGCAAGACUGGCCACCAAACAAUGUUCUUAAGGAUGCUGAAGGCUGUUUUUUGAACAAUAAUCCUUCUUGAAGAAUAGCUGAUCCCAUCUCAGUGAUUGCCAGUAAUGAUUCUUUGUAGGCAACAAAAGCAAUACCAACUCAGCAAAGACAUCUCUGCAUCAAAUUGAAUUAUACGGAGCCAGAUACUUUAGUGUUCUUGUAAAGCUUCUAUCCUUGCUCUUGCAUAGUUGGCCAACUUAGCAUAGCUAGUUCCACUCCAAAUUUAUUUUAGAAUAC